rnacentral:tRNA from 2 species
GCCCGAGUGGCGCAAGGGUAGCGCAGCCGAUUUGUAAUCGGCAGGUUAGCGGGUUCGAAUCCCCUCUCGGGCUCCA